AGACACACACACACACACACACACACACACACACACAUUUCUACCAUGACUUCAGCUCCAUGGAGAACAUUUCUCAUGCUGUCAUCAGUUUCUGUGGUUUGGAGUCAGACUCUGACUGAGUCUGAACCUGUGGUGAAGAGACCUGGAGAGUCCCACAGACUGACCUGUACGUACUCAGGGAUCUCAGAUGGAGACGCUGAUCUUGCCUGGAUCAGACAAGCUGCAGGAAAAGGACUGGAGUGGGUUUCUUUCAUUUCUGCUCCGAGUGGAGGCACUAAAGCUUAUUCCACAUCAGUGCAGAAUCGCUUCACCAUCUCCAGAGACAACGAUGUGGACCAGGUCUAUCUGCAGAUGAGCAGUCUGACAGCUGGAGACUCUGCUGUGUAUUACUGUGCCAGAGCCCCACAACAACACAAACCAUCUGUAGAGCUGAACAAAAACCCCUCAGAGCCUGAACACCUGUGA